GAUGAACGCUCGCUACAGGCUUAACACAUGCAAGUCGAGGGGAAACGAUGAGAGAGCUUGCUCUCUUAGGCGUCGACCGGCGCACGGGUGAGUAACGCGUAUCCAACCUACCCAUUACAGGGGGAUAACCUUGCGAAAGUAAGACUAAUACCCCAUGGCAUUUUAUGGUGGCAUCAUUAUAGGAUUAAAGAUUUAUUGGUAAUGGAUGGGGAUGCGUCUGAUUAGCUUGUUGGCGGGGUAACGGCCCACCAAGGCAACGAUCAGUAGGGGUUCUGAGAGGAAGGUCCCCCACAUUGGAACUGAGACACGGUCCAAACUCCUACGGGAGGCAGCAGUGAGGAAUAUUGGUCAAUGGGCGAGAGCUUGAACCAGCCAAGUAGCGUGCAGGAUGACGGCCCUAUGGGUUGUAAACUGCUUUUAGAGGGGAAUAAAGUGAGCUACGUGUAGUUUAUUGCAUGUACCCUAUGAAUAAGAACCGGCUAAUUCCGUG
rnacentral:rRNA from 1 species